CGCGGCCUAUCAGCUUGUUGGUGGGGUAAUGGCCUACCAAGGCGACGACGGGUAGCCGGCCUGAGAGGGCGACCGGCCACACUGGGACUGAGACACGGCCCAGACUCCUACGGGAGGCAGCAGUGGGGAAUAUUGCACAAUGGGCGGAAGCCUGAUGCAGCGACGCCGCGUGAGGGAUGACGGCCUUCGGGUUGUAAACCUCUUUCAGCAGGGACGAAGCGUGAGUGACGGUACCUGCAGAAGAAGCGCCGGCCAACUACGUGCCAGCAGCCGCGGUAAGACGUAGGGCGCGAGCGUUGUCCGGAUUUAUUGGGCGUAAAGAGCUCGUAGGCGGCUUGUCGCGUCGUCCGUGAAAACUUGGGGCUCAACUCCAAGCUUGCGGUCGAUACGGGCAGGCUAGAGUUCGGUAGGGGAGACUGGAAUUCCUGGUGUAGCGGUGAAAUGCGCAGAUAUCAGGAGGAACACCGGUGGCGAAGGCGGGUCUCUGGGCCGAUACUGACGCUGAGGAGCGAAAGCGUGGGGAGCGAACAGGAUUAGAUACCCUGGUAGUCCACGCUGUAAACGUUGGGCGCCAGGUGUGGGGGGCCUCUCCGGUUCUCUGUGCCGCAGCUAACGCAUUAAGCGCCCCGCCUGGGGAGUACGG
rnacentral:rRNA from 1 species